rnacentral:lncRNA from 1 species
AUGAAAAAAAACCCGUUUCCAACGAAGGACCCUAAGAGGUCAAUAUAUCCACUUGCAGACUUUACAAACAGAGUGUUUCCAAACUGCUGAAUGAAAAGAAAAGUUAAACUCUCUGAGUUGAAAGCACACAUCACACAGCAGUUUCUGAGAAUGAUUCUGUCUAGUUUUUAUACGAAGAUAUUUCCUUUUCUGCCUUUGGCCUCAAAGCGCUUUAAAUCUCCACUUGCAAACCCCACAAAAAGAGUGUUUCAAAUCUGCUCUGUCUAAGGGAAGGUUCAACUCUGUCAGUUGAAUACACACAACAAAAGGAAGUUACUGAGAAUUCUUCUGUCUAGUGUAAUAUGAAGAAAUCCCGUUUCCAACGAAGGCCUCAAAGAGGUCCGAAUAUCCACUUGCAGACUUGACAAACAGAGUGUUUCCAAACUGCUGAAUGAAAAGACAAGUUAAGCUCAGUGAGUUGAACGCACACAUCACAGAACCGGUUCUGAGAAUGAUUCUGUCUAGUUUUUUGCGAAAAUAUUUCCUUUUGUGCCUUUGGAAUCAAAGCGCUUGAAAUCUCCACUUGCAAAUCCCUCAGAAAGAGUGUUUCCGAUGUGCUCUGUCUAAAGGAAGGUUGAACUCUGUGAGUUGCAUACACACAACACAAAGAAGUUACUGAGAAUUCUUCUUUCUAGCAUAAUAUGAAGAAAUCCCGUUUCCAACGAAGGCCUCAAAGAGGUCUGAAUAUCCAAUUGCAGAUUUUACAAACAGAGUGUUUCCUAACUGCUCUAUGAAAAGGAAGGUUAAACUCUGUGAGUUGAACGCACACAUCACAAAGCAGUUUCUGAGAAUCAUUCUGUCUAGUUUUUAUACGAAGAUAUUUCCUUUUCUACCACUGACCUCAAAGCGGCUGAAAUCUCCACUUACAAAUUCCACAAAAAGAGUGUCUCAAAUCUGCUCUGUGUAAAGAACCGUUCAACUCUGUGAGUUGAAUACACACAACACAAGGAAGUUACUGAGAAUUCUUCUGUCUAGCAUAAUAUAAAGAAAUCCCGUUUCCAACGAAGGCCUCAAAGAGGUCUGAAUAUCCACUUGUAGACUUUACAAACAGAGUGUUUCCUAACUGCUCUAUGAAAAGAAAGUUGAAACUCUGUGAGUUGAACGCACACAUCACAAAGCAGUUUCUGAAAAUCAUUCUGUC